AGAGUUUGAUCAUGGCUCAGGAUGAACGCUGGCGGCGUGCCUAACACAUGCAAGUCGAACGGAGUUUAUAUUAUGAAGUUUUCGGAUGGAUUAAUAUAAACUUAGUGGCGGACGGGUGAGUAACGCGUGGGUAACCUGCCUCAUACUGGGGGAUAACAACCGGAAACGGCUGCUAAAACCGCAUAAUAAAGUGAGAUCGCAUGAUUUUGCUUUUAAAUAUUUAUAGGUAUGAGAUGGGCCCGCGUCUGAUUAGCUAGUUGGUAGGGUAAAGGCCUACCAAGGCGACGAUCAGUAGCCGGCUUGAGAGAGUGACCGGCCACAUUGGGACUGAGACACGGCCCAAACUCCUACGGGAGGCAGCAGUGGGGAAUAUUGCACAAUGGGGGAAACCCUGAUGCAGCGACGCCGCGUGAGUGAAGAAGUAUUUCGGUAUGUAAAGCUCUAUCAGCAGGGAAGAAAAUGACGGUACCUGACUAAGAAGCCCCGGCUAACUACGUGCCAGCAGCCGCGGUAAUACGUAGGGGGCAAGCGUUAUCCGGAUUUACUGGGUGUAAAGGGAGCGUAGGUGGCAAAUCAAGUCAGAUGUGAAAGCCCGGGGCUCAACCCCGGGACUGCAUUUGAAACUGACUUGCUAGAGUGCAGGAGAGGUAAGUGGAAUUCCUAGUGUAGCGGUGAAAUGCGUAGAUAUUAGGAGGAACACCAGUGGCGAAGGCGGCUUACUGGACUGUGACUGACACUGAGGCUCGAAAGCGUGGGGAGCAAACAGGAUUAGAUACCCUGGUAGUCCACGCCGUAAACGAUGAGUACUAGGUGUCGGGGGUCAAAAGACCUUCGGUGCCGUCGCAAACGCAUUAAGUAUUCCACCUGGGGGAGUACGUUCGCAAGAAUGAAACUUAAAUGAAUUGACGG
rnacentral:rRNA from 1 species